UCCGGUAUGGUGUAACGGUUCAACAUUGCCGCUUUUCAACCUUAUGUAAUCUGACGCGGCAGCUCGGGGUUCGAUUCCCCGUACCGGAA